UGCGUAGGCGGGUUUCUAAGUCAGAGGUGAAAGCCUGGAGCUCAACUCCAGAACUGCCUUUGAUACUGGAAGUCUUGAGUUCGGGAGAGGUGAGUGGAACUGCGAGUGUAGAGGUGAAAUUCGUAGAUAUUCGCAAGAACACCAGUGGCGAAGGCGGCUCACUGGGCCAUUACUGACGCUGAGGCACGAAAGCUGGGGAGCAAACA
rnacentral:rRNA from 1 species